rnacentral:rRNA from 1 species
UACGUAGGGUGCGAGCGUUAAUCGGAAUUACUGGGCGUAAAGCGUGCGCAGGCGGUCGUUCAAGUCGAGUGUGAAAGCCCCCGGCUCAACUGGGGAGGGUCACUCGAUACUGAUCGACUCGAAGGCAGGAGAGGGAAGUGGAAUUCCCGGUGUAGUGGUGAAAUGCGUUGAUAUCGGGAGGAACACCAGUGGCGAAGGCGACUUCCUGGCCUGUUCUUGACGCUGAGGCGCGAAAGCUAGGGGAGCAAACGGGG